GUGGAAGCUGAGCAGAGGAUGAGAGCAACCAAUGUGAGCCGGGACACCAGUGCUGCUAAAUGGGAAUGUGUCCAUAGCAUCACCCCUCUUUUCUGGCUUGCCAGAUUGGAGGACUCGGGAUGGCAAAGCAGACAGCCACACAAAAUCUAAACAUCCACCAUGAAAAAUGUGAAGCACCAGAAAAUGUUUCAUUCUGCAUCAAAAUGGAAUAACGUUUUUAUUUGCAAAUUGCGAAUGCUGAGCAAGCUAAUAAACC
rnacentral:lncRNA from 1 species